rnacentral:rRNA from 1 species
AUUGAACGCUGGCGGCAGGCUUAACACAUGCAAGUCGAACGAGUGGCGGACGGGUGAGUAAUGCUUGGGAAUCUAGCUUAUGGAGGGGGAUAACUACGGGAAACUGUAGCUAAUACCGCGUACCAUAGGAUGAGCCCAAGUGGGAUUAGGUAGUAGGUGGGGUAAAGGCUCACCUAGGCGACGAUCUCUAGCUGGUCUGAGAGGAUGACCAGCCACACGGGGACUGAGACACGGCCCCGACUCCUACGGAAGGCAGCAGUGGGGAAUAUUGCGCAAUGGGGGCAACCUGACGCAGCCAUGCCGCGGGAAUGAUGAAGGCCUUCGGGUUGUAAAGUUCUUUCGGUAGCGAGGCGUUAACUACAGAAGAAGCACCGGCUAACUCCGUGCCAGCCGCCGCGGUAAUUC